rnacentral:rRNA from 1 species
CUGGCGGCAGGCCUAACACAUGCAAGUCGAGCGCACCUUCGGGUGAGCGGCGGACGGGUUAGUAACGCGUGGGAACGUACCCUUUUCUACGGAAUAGCCUUUGGAAACGAAGAGUAAUACCGUAUACGCCCUUUGGGGGAAAGAUUUAUCGGAGAAGGAUCGGCCCGCGUUAGAUUAGAUAGUUGGUGGGGUAACGGCCUACCAAGUCUACGAUCUAUAGCUGGUUUUAGAGGAUGAUCAGCAACACUGGGACUGAGACACGGCCCAGACUCCUACGGGAGGCAGCAGUGGGGAAUCUUAGACAAUGGGCGCAAGCCUGAUCUAGCCAUGCCGCGUGAGUGAUGAAGGCCUUAGGGUCGUAAAGCUCUUUCGCCUGUGAUGAUAAUGACAGUAGCUAGUAAAGAAGCCCCGGCUAACUUCGUGCCAGCAGCCGCGGUAAUACGAAGGGGG